ensembl:ncRNA W01A11.10 ncRNA
AGAAUCGAACAAGAGAGUAGGGGGUAUCGUGAGAAGAUGCGCUUUUGUGGACAGGAAGAGGGCGCAUGCAUAGGUAAUUGUACCUAGGCACUUGCGAACAAAUAGAGUGAGUGACGAAGAACUGACGAAGCCCCAUAUGCGCAAAUGUGUGUCACGAUACUAUUUGCGUGUCAUAGAUUCAUGCAACUGUGCAAACUAUAUCUCAACCCAAAAAUAG